UGAUCAUCUGGGAGAGGCUUGGAGUACAGCCACUUCUUAUCCACAUCAAGAAUAAUCAGCUUGAAAAUAUUUUUUUGGAUGCCUCUCUAGGGAGGUUUUCCAGGCACAUCUCAACAAAAGAAGGCCGAGGACACGAUGGAGAGACAAGUACAAAAAUGGGAAGAACCCGACUGAAACCUGAAGCUCAGGAUGUGUCUCAACUGAAAACCUGCCUGCCUGCUCUCAGUAACAAACCUGAAGAUCAAACUGUCUGGAUCUCCCAACCUUCCUCCAAGAAGGACUUGGAGAAGCUCUGAACUCUACAAGCCUGAAGCUAGGUCCUGUCGCUGCCAAGCCCUCUGCUGUCGAUCAGUCUCUAGACCCUCCUGGUUCCCUCCCUCUGCCGUUCAGCCUGAAUCUCUGAACAGAGAGCCUUGUGUGACCAGUCCCGGAUCUAAUUCCAGUAUCUGUCAAGUAACCUUGUGCUUAUCUACCCCAACAUGACACCAAGAAACUAAAUCAGACCAAUUUUGAACUGAUUACAUGUACUUACAUCAGGCCUUAGGUAGAAUCUUUACCACUGUCACCUAAUUGGCAACAGUGGCCUAAUUCCACAAACUGGAUCAGUUUUGAUUUUGAGAAAAAAAAAAAAAAAAAAACAGGUAUGUUUGUAUGUUUGGUCCUUAUUACACAUAAUAGAAUUUAAUAUUGCCUGUGAUUCACACAAGUCAAACCUUUUAAACAGUACUCAGAAUGAAGUUGCCUCAAACUUUCUUUUGUAAAACUCAGGAAUCAGAUUAUCGAUAUCAGUGAUAUUGUACUUGUUACAAUGCAGUUUCUAAUCCCAUCCCAACAAAAACAGUAGAAAGCAUUACAUUUCUGCCUAAAGUGAAUAAAGUUUUCUUACCUAACACAGCCAGCAGCUGGAGUAUCUUGCUCUCACUGUUAAACAUAGAGUGGUAUCUGUCCGCUUUCCUAGAAAUGUGUUUACUUCCCUUCCUUCCUUCUCCAUUAACCAGCUUUGCAUGUGUUGUCUAGUAAAUAAUGAAUACCAUCAGC